GCCAGACUCCUACGGGAGGCAGCAGUGGGGAAUAUUGCACAAUGGGGGGAACCCUGAUGCAGCGACGCCGCGUGGGCGAGGAAGUAUUUCGGUAUGUAAAGCCCUAUCGGCAGGGAAGAAGAAAUGACGGUACCUGAAUAAGAAGCACCGGCUAAAUACGUGCCAGCAGCCGCGGGAAUACGUAUGGUGCAAGCGUUAUCCGGAUUUACUGGGCGUAAAGGGAGCGCAGGCGGCGCGCCAAGUCUGAUGUGAAACCCCGGGGCUCAACCCCGGGCAUGCAUUUGAAACUGUUGGUCUUGAGUAUCGGAGAGGCAGGCGGAAUUCCUAGUGUAGCGGUGAAAUGCGUAGAUAUUAGGAGGAACACCAGUGGCGAAGGCGGCCUGCUGGACGACAACUGACGGUGAGGCGCGAAAGCGUGGGGAGCAAACAGGAUUAGAUACCCUAGUAUCC
rnacentral:rRNA from 1 species